CAGUCGCCACGGUAAUACGUAGGGUGCGAGCGUUAAUCGGAAUUACUGGGCGUAAAGCGUGCGCAGGCGGUCGUGUAAGACAGGUGUGAAAUCCCCGGGCUUAACCUGGGAACUGCGCUUGUGACUGCACAGCUAGAGUAUGGCAGAGGGGGGUGGAAUUCCACGUGUAGCAGUGAAAUGCGUAGAGAUGUGGAGGAACACCGAUGGCGAAGGCAGCCCCCUGGGCCAAUACUGACGCUCAUGCACGAAAGCGUGGGGAGCAAACAGGAUUAGAUACCCCGGUAGUCCCUGUCUCUUAUAC
rnacentral:rRNA from 1 species